AGCUGCGGCGGCUAUGUACGGGCACGCUUCGGCGUGGUCGAGGUGCUAGGGACUCGAUAUUCCUACCCCGUACAUGGCUGCCACCCUG
rnacentral:antisense_RNA from 1 species